rnacentral:rRNA from 1 species
GACGAAGGUGGCAAGCGUUGUUCGGAUUCACUGGGCAUAAAGGGCGCGUAGGCGGUUCCGAAAGUGGCAUGUGAAAUCCCCCGGCUCAACCGGGGAAGUGCGUGCCAAACUUCGGUGCUAGAGGGCGGUAGGGGGGACUGGAACUCUCGGUGGAGCGGUGAAAUGCAUAGAUACCAUUAAGAACACCGAUUGCGAAGGCAGCUUACUAUAGUGUAACUGACGCUGAGGCACGAAAGUGUGGGGAUCAAACAGG